rnacentral:lncRNA from 1 species
AUAAAUUGUUUUCUAAAUGCAUAAUAUAGAGAAUGGUUCUGUUGCCAUUUGCUCAAGGUUUCCUGUCACUGGGACAGUUGGCAGAGCUGUCCAGCCAAAGCAGUGUCCAUAAGUAUGUGAAUCACAGGACCACAGCAAUGGAUGGCAGCAUGGCCCCAGUGGCUAACAUUCCUGUACUUGCCUAUUGUGGAUUAUGGUGGCCCAAGAAAAGGGAGAUGUUGGAGAGAUGGAAAUAGUACAUUCUGUUCCUUUGUCUCCCUUAGUGUGUACCACUCCAUCAGACACUAGGUGAAUUAGUACUUUCAAGAGCUUGCAGGGCUGGGGCAAGACUCCUCAAAAGACUGCACAUUCUCAGAAUCAGAUUUAAUACAGGACAUACAGAAAUUUAUAAGAUUAGCUUAGGCAAAUGAAGAAUGCAAGAGAUCAAUCCAUGCACUAGAGAUCCAAAGAAUUCAGCUGAGGGUCUGGAUCCCACAGCAAUGUCCUAUGAGUCCAUAUCAGGAGGCCAAGGAAUCUUUGAUGGAAGACUGAAGGUCUGUGUUGGCAGAAAAAGGCUGAAAAGCCAAUGCUGGAAGCUGAGGAGUCUGCGCAGAAAGCCAGGUGACAAUACUCAAGGCGAGCGUGAGGACCGGAGCUGCUCUGAAAACAGCCACAAUGAAGCUUUUCCAAGGAAAAUAAGAGAGAACAGGAUCAGACAUCAGCAGUGUUUGGCCCCUCUGGACACCGGUCUGCAAAAGGAGAGGCCACUCUGACAGUAUUCCGGGGCUCUGGGUAGGCCGGUCCCAGUUGGGCCCUAUUGCCGAUCAACUGACCCAUAGGAGUUUAUCAGGAAAGCCUCUAGAGGUAAGAAUUGAAUGAUUCUUAGUGCACUAUGGGUAGGUAGGAGGAAGCUGGAUGUGGCACAGGUUUCCCUACCUAGAGUCUCUUUGUGAUGGCAAGCAGACUCACUGGGCUGGAGUCCUCAGAAGAGCGACUCCCUGGGUGGGGUCCGAAUCCAUUCGGCCCCAUGGGUUUUACUUGGCCAAAGUUUGUCUUUGUCUGUUUAUUGUUGUCUGUCUGCUUGCUCUGUGUGCCUUUUGCAUUUUCACAGGCUAAAAUUAUGGGUUCCUCUUGUGUUUUGAAUAACUUCAAAAAAAUUUAUUCCACAGACAGAGAAGAUGAAUAUGGCAUGA